UACAGAGGGUGCGAGCGUUGUCCGGAAUCACUGGGCGUAAAGGGCGCGUAGGUGGCGACCCAAGUCAAUGGUGAAAGCUCGAUGCUCAACAUCGAGUCGGCCACUGAUACUGGGUUGCUGGAGCACUGUAGAGGCAGAUGGAAUUCCGGGUGUAGCGGUGAAAUGCGCAGAUAUCAGGAGGAACACCGAUGGCGAAGGCAGGUCUCUGGGCCACUACUGACGCUGAGAAGCGAAAGCAUGGGGAGCGAACAGG
rnacentral:rRNA from 1 species